rnacentral:rRNA from 1 species
UACGUAGGUGGCAAGCGUUAUCCGGAUUUAUUGGGCGUAAAGAGAACGCAGGCGGUCUUUUAAGUCUGAUGUGAAAGCCUUCGGCUUAACCGGAGUAGUGCAUUGGAAACUGGGAGACUUGAGUGCAGAAGAGGAGAGUGGAACUCCAUGUGUAGCGGUGAAAUGCGUAGAUAUUAGGAGGAACACCAGUGGCGAAGGCGGCCUGCUGGACUGCAACUGACGUUGAGGCUCGAAGGCGUGGGGAGCAAACAGG